rnacentral:rRNA from 1 species
UAAUACGGAGGGUGCAAGCGUUAAUCGGAAUUACUGGGCGUAAAGCGCGCGUAGGCGGUUUGUUAAGUCAGCUGUGAAAGCCCCGGGCUCAACCUGGGAACUGCAGUUGAUACUGGCCGACUUGAGUACGAGAGAGGGAGGUAGAAUUCCAUGUGUAGCGGUGAAAUGCGUAGAUAUAUGGAGGAAUACCAGUGGCGAAGGCGGCCUCCUGGCUCGAUACUGACGCUGAGGCGCGAAAGCGUGGGGAGCAAACAGGAUUAGAUACCCUGGUAGUCCACGCCGUAAACGAUGUCUACUAGCCGUUGGGAGACUUGAUUUCUUAGUGGCGCAGCUAACGCAAUAAGUAGACCGCCUGGGGAGUACGGCCGCAAGGUUA